GGUGGCAACCCUAAUUGUGGCUAAUUGUGGGGCAUGCACCCAAAUACACACUUUAGAGAAUUGACUAAUACUUGCUAUAAAUAAACACUAUAGAACAACCAAGAAUUGGUUUGGGCCAAGAAAAGAAUUUACUGAAUUUCUCCGUUGCAUGUAUUUAUUGAUGGAUCUAAACAUAUUGCAUGUUUCUUUUCCCAUAUGCAGUUCUGCCUUUUGGUCUGCAGCUUCCUGACAUUCCUAGCUGUUCUUGGUGGAUACAUUCCUGGUGUUGUUCUGUCAUAUUUGCUUUAUUUUUGCUGCGUGUAUGUGCCAGCGAGUGCACUGAGCAUACAGCCUUCAAACCAUGAAGUGGAAUGGCUGGAAGAUCCCAGGAAUAACCAUUAUAAACACAAUCUUCAGCCCAUUAACCCAGUGUGAGAAUGCUUGGUGGAGAAUCCAUACCUGCAGGAGGACUGUUGUGUUUAUCUACAUAAAGAUAAUGUUAUAUGCUAUGUGCUUCCAGUUUAGCGUUACUGAACCUUUAGAUAAAUUGAUGCUAUAUACUGGGUGUGUGAUUCAUUGAACCCCCAAAAGUCUGUAUAUAUUAUUUGUUUGUUAAAACAGUAGACAAUUGAGAUUUUGAGUAUCGUUUAUUGCCCAGGAACAAAGUGAAUAAGAAUAAACCUUGGCAGGUUGUUCUGCUUCCAACAUUUUUUUCAAUUCAGUUGUUUUCAGAUAGUUCAGAAAUCGACUUUUUUUUCAAUUGCUAUUUACUAUUUGUGGCAGCUCUGAGAGGGGAUCAGACUCUGUAAACUGUUCUAAAUUGAUACAUUAGUUGCUAUAUUCCUUAUCUUUGGCCCUGCUAAGUACAAUAUCUGAGUUUCAUGAAAGGCUAUGGAUAUAAUAGAUACAAUAGUUGCUUGUAUUCCCACAGAUGCUUCUGAGAAAUGUAUCAACUCACGUAGCAAACUGUAACACUUAACAGAUUCUGCACCUGGAUUACUGAGAUGUCAGACAGGACAUUAAAGGGAACCUGCUACUGCUGACAUUUGGAUCACAAUCAAAAUAACGCAGGGCAUCAGGGCGAGGACCAUAUCAACCAGCUGAUACACUCCUAUUCCCAAUGGAAAUUUUAAAUUUGGCAGAUAGAUAGCUGCCAAUUUUUGGGCAAGAUAUCAGUCAGGCAGGCCCAUUGAUGGGGCCCCAUUGAGGCAAUAAUAUGCCGGUCCAUAUAUGACCACCUGUAUGGCCAACUUAAGACGAAUUGUAAUUGGUCUUACAAUGGUUUUUUUAAUAUUUUUUUUUCUUAUGCAGCUCCCCAUUUUGGAAUUUAAACUACAAUAUGAUCUUGUUGCCCUUGGCCAAUAUGGUGUAGAAUAAAAAUGUAAAAA